GGUCACUACGCAAUAAAGCUACCAUGUGUUUUUUCUUGAUCGGUACUUGUUAUAUGUAUAUUAUAAAUUAGAUGUUUGUGCUUUGUGUGCUUAAAUAACUCUGUUCAACUAGCCGUAGACCUGAAAUGUGAUCUUGUGUGACAUACUCCACUUUGAAAAAUGCUUUGGGAUUAUAUAUAAAGCCGAUUUUGUGUAUUAAGCUUCAAGCGGAUCUACAUGCCACAAUACCUACAAGUAUCUCUUCGCCUUCGUGUCUCGUUUCGUCCGAAUAUGUGUCAUUGUCCGGCACACAAAACUCUAAUGUGGGAGUGCGGCUUUGUACGUGUAUUUGUAUUUCCGUGCUUUUGUUGAUUACUGGACGGAGGCCGCACUUUCAUGCCGUACUCAAGACUUAGUGUGACGCACAUAUGGAAUGCGCAGCAUGUGAAUGGUAUAUAACAAUAAAUGUGCGCGCUAUGCAAUGGUUAAGGAGCAGUUGGACAUAUGACGCCCACAAAUGAAACCUGAUUAAAUACGCUUACGCGUAAUCGUAAAAAAUAUCGUCAAUUGAGAGCUAUCGAGCAAAGGAAUUCAAUUUCAGGCAUUCAUAACUAUUGUUGCACUUCUACUGAAUUGCUACUCGAGUUGCUAACAUUGUCGCAUGACACUAAAUUCUAGUUACUGGCACAUAAAGGCAUUUAAGUACGUAUUUAGAAAAGUGAGGAUACAUCAAAUUUAUGUUGCUAGCUACUCACAAACAGACGAUUAGGUUACUACGUCUAAUUUUCUGUAAGUAAGCCACAGGCAAAAAAAAAGGAAACACCGACGGAAAUACUCGAUGAAACAAGAACCAAAAAAAAAAUCCAAAAUAUAACAACAAAGCUAAUGUGGGUGGAGGAGGAGGGGCAAGCAGCAUUUAGCAAAGACAACAACCGAGACUCACAUGUUACACUGCAGAUAUAGAAGAAGCAUGUCAAGUUGUCAUUGAGUUUCAUUUGAUUUGUUAUCUUUUAUUUUUUAAGGGGCUGCUCUGGCAACGAUCUCACUGCACAAUUGCGGAUUACUGAAAUUUACAUUUCGUUCAUAAAAUUAUAUAAUUUCUUUGAGCUAAGCAGAAACAUUUGGCGGCCCAUGCCUUGGCAAUAAACACAAACUAGCACAAGAACACACACCCAGAGAAAUACACACGCGCUCGUAUCUGCCUUACUUUUUGUAUAUGGAAUUUGCGUUUCAGUAGCACAUUUUGUAUACGUUGCGUUGCCAGAACUUGCUGAGCUGCCCAGACGAGACGACCAAAAGCUACGACAGUUCAACUACGACUAACUGAACUGAAUAUCAAAUGAUACUGCCGAGCCAGGCGAUUCCUAAGUGUGUGUAUAUGUACAUGUGUGUGUGUGUGUGUGUAUGUGUGCAGGCAACGAGCGAUGGCAAAGCGUGCGACACACAGCAGGCAGCGGAAAAACAGCGCGAAUUUGAGUGGAAAGCCCAGCAGGAUAGAAAAGUACAAGCAAAGCAGCUGACACACAUUUUGGGCUUUGUUUUGGUUGUGCCCAGGCGUCGCAGGGGAUAACGCAGCAUACGCCGUGAGGUGGAGGACGCUGCGGCGGCUGCUUGCCGGCGUUUUUCGCUCUCUCACACAAAAGAAAGAUAGAGAGAGAGAGAGAGAGAGUGAGAAAGAGAGAGACAGCGCCUGCGCUUAGAGACCGAGUGUGUUCAGGCUUCAAACAGCGGUCUGUAUAAAUAAAAAAUAUUUUAAUAAAAAGUCUCGAUUGAACAAUCAGAGCUCUUCAAGAUGACCCGUCAACAAUAUUACGAGAGUUAGGCAAAGGUUUUGGCGCAUUGGUCAUCGCAGCUAUUCAUAUAUUCAUUCACUCGGGCAUUCAUUUUAUCGAUUUCAUUUUGACCAAUAUUCGGAUGAACGUUUUGUUUACGAAUUUGUGUGGCGCAAGGCAUGAAUGAAUGAAUAUAUGAAGUAUACACACACAUACCAACAUAAAUCUAGAGUAAAAUAGUACAGCUACAACUAAACAACUGUCCGUGUGUGUGUGUGUGGGUGUGCAUGUGCGUGUGCGUGUGUAUGCAUGUGUGCAUGCUGUCUCCUUUUCACUCAGGUUGAAUGACACUAGCAAGUGGAUUGACACCCGCCCGCCCGUAGCUUGCACGUUGCUGGUUUGCCGCUUUAUGUCCUCAAUUCCAAGCGGGACGCCAUCAGCGAGUGUGUGUGUGUGUGAGUGCGUCCUAGGCCUCUGUCAAGUGUGUGUACACUGACAGCAUCAGUUCGUAUUUGCACGGGGAGUUAGAAGGGCGUGACACAGUUCCGUGGAUUGCAAGCGAAUUUGUGCAAUUUCUAAGGGAAAACAACAUCGUGCGGGCGUAUACGUAAUAUUUUAAAUGCCUAUUUCCUAUGCGGUUAUGUUCUGACUCUAACAUUGAAAAUUACCUUUAUACCUAUCGACACAAUUUACACAUCUGCCAUGACAACAACCAGCUCGGCGCCCCAUUACUGGAGCUUGACUAUCUAAGGGCAGAAAAGACCAUAGGAUCUACCUGACAGGAUUCUCUAAACAAUUAAUAUUUCUUGCAUUAAUAUUGUACACCUUAGCCUAAAUGGCAGUAAGUUAGAAUUUUUUAAUAGUGGCAUUCUAUUUGUAGUCAUAACUCCGCCAAAUCCUUAGGGUUGACCAGUUUUGACAAUUUUUCUCUGAAAUCAAAAAACGUUGAUGCCAUUUGUUCUAUGGACCUCCGCGUGUUCUCCCGAGAUCGCGCUUCAUUUGGCGGAGAUAUGGCUAUUUAAAAAAA